UUGUUUAAAGACAGAGAUGUUCUCACUGAAGAAAGGCAAGUGUAUUCAGGUUUCCUGUAGCUCCAAGGUCAUUUUGAACUGAGCUGUUGAACUAAGUCUUUUGGUUAAUUUAACAGAGUCCAUCAGAAGAGACCAGUUUCCCCUGUUCCCAGCUGUCUGUCCAUGAAGACUGAUCAGUCAAUGGAACCUCCCAUUUUGUUUAAAGACAGAGAUGUUCUCACUGAAGAAAGGCAAGUGUAUUCAGGUUUCCUGUAUCUCCAAGGUCAUUUUGAACUGAGCUGUUGAACUAAGUCUUUUGGUUAAUUUAACAGAGUCCAUCAGAAGAGACCAGUUUCCCCUGUUCCCAGCUGUCUUUCAAUGAAGACUGAUAAGUCUAUGGAACCUCCCAUUUUGUUUAAAGACAGAGAUGUUCUCACUGAAGAAAGAGUCCAUCAGAAGAGACCAGUUUCCCCUGUUCUCAGUUGUCUUUCAAAGAAGACUGAUCAGUCUAUGGAACCUCCCAUUUUGUUUAAAGACAGAGAUGUUCUCACUGAAGAAAGGCAAGUGUAUUCAGGUUUCCUGUAGCUCCAAGGUCAUUUUGGUUAAACUGAAGAAAUCAGUUUUUCCCUGUUCACAGGUUAGGGUUAUUAGAUUAAAAUGUUACUGGUAGUCAGUAGAUAAAAUGUAGAGCACCUAAAGAAAUACAAAGGUUUUGGGUCACUUUGAAAUAUCCAGAAGUUGCCUCUUCAUUGUUGACGUGGAGGGUGGUGUUCUACCGAUACAAAUUAAUAAAGCUUUGUGAAAUCUGAGCAUUAAUAAUUUAGUAUUUACUCAUUGGAAGUCAAUGUGACUAGAUAAUGAGAACAACAGAAAUAUCUGUGUUUAGAUUAUCUCUAUGUAGGUUGCGCUCUGAUAACCACAGGAAUGUUUAUAUUGACCAUCUGGCCUGGGGGUUACUGUUUUCUGAUCUUUGCUAGGUAGACAGGUGUGUCCUCUUGCUCAGUUGUGCACCGGAGCCUCCCACGCCUCUUUCUAUUCUGGUUAGAGUCAGUUUGUGCUGUUCAAUGAAGGUAGGAGUACACAAACUUUUCAGAGAUUUUCAGUUUCAUGGAAAUUUCUCACAUGGAAUAGCCUUCAUUUCCCAGAACAAGAAUUGACUGACAAGUGUCAGAAGAAAGGUUUUUGACAAUUUGAGCUUGAAAUCGAACCCACAAAAGCUGAUGCUGUAGAUACUAAACUAGAACUGAACUAAAGAAGGCCAGUUUUAUUGCUUCUUUAUUCAGCACAACAGUUUUCAAUAUUGCUAACAUAAUCGCAAAAGGGCUUUCUAAUGAUCAAUUAAGCCUUUUAAAAGGAUUUACUUUGUGUAUUAGCAAACACAAUGUGCCAUUGGAACACAGGACUGAUGGUUGCUGAUAAUGGGUCACUGUACGCUUAUGUAGAUAUUCAAUAAAUAAUCUGCCAUUUUCAGCUACAAUAGUCAUUUACAAAAGUAACAAUGUCUAUACUAUAUUAGUGAUUAAUUUGAUGUUAUUUUAACAAAAAAAGAGCUUUUCUUUAAAAAACAAGGACAUUUCCAGGUGACCCCAAACUUUUGAAUAGUAGUCUAACAAAGACUAAUUUAUUGAAAAGGAAUUCCCAAUUUCAGACACAUAGCAAUAAUAAUACUCCAAAAGUAUUUUAAAACGGUACAUUAUCAUUUCCAUUUUUGUAUUCCAAAAUCUUUACGGAGUUGUGGAAACAAGCUUUAUUGAGGAUGUUCAUUUGUUUUGUGUAUUGAAGCUGUUCUGUGUGUUUUUUUUAAAGGUGUGUGUAUUUUAUCUGUAAGUUGAGUCAUCUUUUUUUUCGCUCAGAGACCAACAGGACAGACCAAUUUCGGAUAUACCUAGUGUUGAGGACUUGAAAGACCAUCAACAUGGCAAGACAUUUCUUG
rnacentral:lncRNA from 1 species